AUAUUGUUGCUCUUCAUCCACACGGGUUUACCACUAUUUGGUCAUCUAUCUUACCUCUUGAAAGAGGCUAAGAGUUUAAGGACCUAUAUUGAUCAUGGAAGUAUGGAGAAGCAUAGAGGCAAUCAUGAAAAGGCUAGGGAGCAAGGCAUUACCGCAGAGGGAGAGGCAGACGAUUAGGACCUUCCCUAACAAGGACAAUUAUGUUAC